rnacentral:rRNA from 1 species
AGAGCGAACGCUGGCGGCAGGCCUAACACAUGCAAGUCGAGCGCCCGUAGCAAUACGGGAGCGGCAGACGGGAUAGUAACACGUGGGAACGCGCCCUUCGGUUCGGAAUAACUCAGGGAAACUUGAGCUAAUACCGGAUACGCCCUUACGGGGAAAGAUUUAUUGCCGAAGGAACGGCCCGCGUCCGAUUAGCUAGUUGGUGAGGUAAUGGCUCACCAAGGCGACGAUCGGUAGCUGAUCUGAGAGGAUGAUCAGCCACACUGGAACUGAGACACGGUCCAGACUCCUACGGGAGGCAGCAGUGGGGAAUCUUGGACAAUGGGCGCAAGCCUGAUCCAGCCAUGCCGCGUGAGUGAAGAAGGCCUUCGGGUUGUAAAGCUCUUUUGUCGAGGACGAUAAUGACGGUACCUGAAGAAUAAGCCCGGCAACUCGUGCCAGCAGCCGC